GGGGGUAUGGCGGAAUUGGUAGACGCUACGGACUUGAAAAUCCGUUGGCUUUAUUAAACCGUGAGGGUUCAAGUCCCUCUACCCCCA
rnacentral:tRNA from 3 species